rnacentral:tRNA from 1 species
GAGGGUCUAGCUCAGAGAGAGAGCACAUGCCUAGCAUGCAGGAGGUCCUAGGUUCAAUCCCCAGUACCUCCA